AUGAGAACCUGGUGCAGGUGGAAGGAAAGGGGACCCCACAGGGAAGGUAGAAGGGCCAGGGCUUUCCCCAGCAGUGGCCAGAUCUGAACAGAGAUGACUCUGUGUUGCUGUGGCCACUCCAGACCCCAGACCGCAGCCUGAUAUCCAAGCUCCCGAGGGAGCAGAAUGCAUCAGCCACCUCAGAGAGGAGGCGCAGCCCAGUCAGGGCCCCACGUUGUCACGGCUCCAGCUGUCCUCAGGAGGGAAACUGUCUUGCAAGCCUGGAGACUUCUGGUUGCUUCUCGGAGGAAAGGUAGCAUCUCCCUUCCUUUCUGGGAAACAAACAUUCCCGAGUACCAACUGCGUGCCAGGCCCAUUGCUAGCUGCAAUCUUAGGCGAGUCCCAAACCUCUCUGAGACUUGGGCCUGUCAUCUGGAAACAGAGUAGUCUAUAAAAGAUUGACUUCAAAGGGCUGUGAGGACAGUCAAAGAGACCAUAAAGCACAGAGCUUGGGCAGGGGUGGGCAUUCAGGAGAGGUGGUGGCCCCUUCCCCUGUGCCUGCCCCUGGGAAACCCUGUCCCCUACCUGGCUGGCAGCACAGGAGACGUGGAGAAGGGACAACCCGGUCUGGGGACGGGGCGGUUUCUCCAGGCUGGGCUGCCACUGUCUUCCUUCCCUGUGUGGGUGGUGGCUCAGGGCCUGGUGGUCUGCCACAAAGGUCCAGAAGGUCCACCCUUUCUGGUGGCUGGGGGUGGCAGUCAGGGGCUUCAGGACAAGCCUCUGGCUGCUGUGGCCCCCUACCCUUCCUCUGCACCUUGGGAGCCCCAGCCCCUGGGCUGUCUGAGUCUAUGCUAACAAAGUAGGAGCCAGAAACGUUCCUUUAGACACAGGUCACUGUGAGCCUUGGCUAAGCCUGGGGACCUCUUCUCGGCCCUGGCUACGGCCCAGAUGCCCACCCUGAACCUUCCACGAGUCAGGGCAGGCACCAUUUCCCCAGGACCAGCUGAGCAGUAAAGUCUCUUCUGGUUUAUCUGGAGGAAGGAAAAUGACGUCAUGAGGUAAACCGCACAGCCUGAAACCACGAGGCUGGGCGCCCCAGUGAUGUUUGCUUUUCAGCAAAAGUCACCAUGCACACAGAGGGACAGGGAGCCCAGGCCAUUGUGGUCAGAGGGUCAGGGGGAAGACAGAGGGAGAUUUUUUAACACGGAACCACAAGGAAGGAGAGGCCCCCGGAGAGGACGGACGUCAGAGGCCAGAGGGCGGCUUCCUGGGGUGCUGUGAGAGACUUGUCACCUGCUGGGUGGGGCAGUCUCUGCUGGUGUCUCACGAGGUCUCGGGCUUGGCACCUGAGGCAUGCAAAGUCACGUUUGCCAUGGCGGGCACAAUAAUAGUGGCAAGAAUAAUAAUAUCGAUAACGCAUCCUGACCAUGUGUCUCUGUAGCCCUGUCACCUCCUCACCACCGUCCCAUAAGACGGGACCCUGCGAGGCAGACGCAGCCUGCACACAGAGGAGGGAGGGGAGGCUGCUGGGGCUCCGGCCUGUGCUUUCGCCUCCAGACCAUGGAGCUUCUUCACCCACAUGCUGGGUGCCGUCCAGCCUGAGGCCUGUGUGCAGGGUCCCGGUUUCAAGCCCCGAUUCCCACCUGCUAACUGUGACCCAGGAAGCCCCACCCCCCGCAGCCCUCAGUUUCUUCACCUGCCAAACUCCCUGCCUUCGAGGUGAGAGAUUACGUAAGUAAGGUAAAGCUUAUUCUUCGAUACCGUUCUCUUACUCUGUCAAUGCUUUGAGCAGGGUUCCCUGGAGAAACUGGCCCCAAAGCGUGGGCCCAGACACUGGUCUUGAUGGGCUGGCUGAGGCGGGAGCUCCGUCUCAUGGGAGUGGAUGGGAGUGGCAGGCAGGUGGGUGGCACCUUCUGUGGAGCGGGGGCCAGUCGGCAGCUUAAACGAGGGCAGAGAGAGCUGUCUAGGGAGGUCCAAUGGGGCUUCACUUUUCUCAGGAAUCUCAGGGUCUCCAAGCCCCCACUCUAGGGUGGCAUGAGUUUGGGGGGUUCCUAAAGGAAGUCCCCUGUGUCUGGGUGUGCCUGGGUGGCAGUGUAGGGGCAGGUGUGGUGCCCACAUUGUCCAUAUGUCCUCACCCGCCCCAGGCCCCAGGCCCUCUGCCUCAGGGUGGGGCCGCAGCUCAGCUUUGAUGCCCCUGAGGGCCUGCCUGCCGGAACUGCUGUUUCAGGCAGGAGGUGGGAGGACGCAAUGCAGGCGGGGUUGCCCAACCAAAACACCCUCAGCCCAAUUCCUCCCACAGGCCUCCUGGAACCCGCAUUUCUUCAGUGGAGUCACAGCUUUUUGGGCUAUGGCUCCUCUUUUCAGUUCUUUUUCUUUAUAACACAAAGACACCAUGAGAGAGGCCGUACUUCACAAUCCCCAAGUGUUAGAAGGCAGAGGGUCUUCCAGACAGCCACCACCAGGCCUGUGCUUUACAGAGGAGGAAGCUGAAAGGACUGGUCCAAGACCACACAGCGGGGAGCAGGUGGCAGCACGGACGCUCGAAGCUUGGUCUCUCGCUGUGGAGUUUUCUCUCGCCUGUCUCUACCGCUAUCAUCCUAAUACUGAAGCAUCAGGUCCUUUUUCAAGACACCACCAGCUACAAGCAGAGGGCAAGCCUGGGGCUGAGAAGCACUGUGGGGAGGAGGGGUGGAGCUGGGAGAGGGUCACGGGAGUCAGGGGCCAGGGAAAGCUGCCAAGCAGAGACAGCCUCUCCUGCCCCUUUCCCAGGGCUGACUCAGCACCUUACGCGUGAGGAUUUGUCAUCAACAACUGACCCCAAAAGCCAUGGUGCCCUGGGGUUGGUGUCCCAGUGAUGCUUUUCUGACUCGUGGCCCAGGAUGACACAAAGCCCCAAGGGACAAGCCAGAGAUCCCACUGGCCCAGCCAGAUGCUCCAAGAUUCCUUUUGCCUGUAACCCAGAACUGGCCCACCCUCUUGCCUGGUUACUGGGGCUUUCACGAAAGAGCAAUGGACAGUGGGAAGGGCUCGCUGUGAGGCAGGAUCAGUCCUGGGGCCCUGGGAGUGUCUCUUCCCUUCCCCGAGCCUCAGUGUUCUUGUCUGUACAAUGGAAGUUCAGGUCAGAUGGUCUCUGGAUUCCUUCCCAGCUCUGAGAACCAGGUUCUACCUCAGCUGUUCUCAGAAAGGACAGGGUGGUCCGGGCUGGGCAUGGGCUUGAGGCUUGUGCCCCUCUCCUAGCCCCAAGGACUUCCCAUCCUUUCAGGUCCCGCUGGGGCUCAGCUGCCCAACUCUGAUCAGAAAGAAGAGCUGUAAGUCUGGCUGGGCGGUGGCUCAUGCCUCUAAUCCCAGCACUUUGGGAGGCCAAAGAGGAUGGACUGCUUGAGCCCAGGAGUUCGGGACCAGCCUGGGAACCCUCUCAUGGGACAGCUGGACACAGCCAGGCGGGAAGGACUCUUCACCAGCCCCGUCUCCAUAGUCCCGGCUGCCAUCACUGCUGGCAUCGACACUGACCCUCCAGCUCCAGCACCAGGUCACCACCCUGCCCCUCAUCCAUCCUCCUCCUCCACGCGUGAUGAAUGAGCUUUUCUCAUUCAAUCAUUCUCAGGGGCAGCAUAGCGUGGCCAGUAGGAAGGAGGAUGCGGGAGCCAGCCUGCCUGGCUCCACCACCCACCAGCUGCUUUUAUUCCCUGCCUGCUCUAGUUCCCUGGCUGUAAAAUGGGGAUACAAAUAAUAUCUUCCUCAUCAGGUCACUGGGAGGCUUAAAUAAGCCCAUACUGUAAAGUGCUUAGAACAGGGCCUGCCACGUAGUAAGUACUCCAUAAUUGCUAUCAUUCAUCCAUUCAUUCAUUCAUUCAUUCAUUCGUGAAUUCUAUCCUGCCUGUUUCUGAAAGAGUUGAGAUGACUCACAGUGGAAAUGCAAUGAUAACAGGCCUUUAAAUUCAGAUUAAAAGAACACAAGCCUAGGCUGCAGAGGAGAGAGUGUCCCAGAAUCUGAGCCAAGCAAGCCUCACCUGAAUACAACCUCCCGGCGUCUCAUCCAAAACAUAAAGGUUGCUGGUAUCAAUUCUCCUUUUCUGAUGAAAGGAAGCAUAACAGCUUUCCAGCGGAAUAGAAGAUUUUUUUUUGGUUCAAACUUUAUGAAUGACAUUAAACAAUGCAAUGAGUAGCCUCCCCCUCACCUCACCCUGUCCGCCUUUUUAAUCAACUCCUGAGAAAUGGGGUCUGCUCUUCUUCCCAUCCCACUCCCCAUCUCCAGACCCUGCGGAAGCCUGUGGUCCUGGAGAGCCUGAGAGCCCUCAGAGCGAUACCUUCAGCUAUCCCAGGAGAAGGACACUCUUCGCUUUCAGCACCAGGGGAAAACUAGGAAAAAGCCAAGCCACUGAGUCAAUGAGGGCCUUCCCUCAGCUGCAGACAGCAAGCCCCUUCCAGGCGCUUCCCCGCAGCUACGGCAGCAAGUGCCCCAGGGGCAGGGCCGGGAAUGCUCACUGAGAAAUCCCAGAGCUGCCUGCACUUCCUCUCACCGGCUUCCCCUUCUCUCAGCAGCCACAGGCACGGGAAAGCUGCUGAUUCCCGGAGGACCACUUACACCAAGCACUGUGAGCUGAUCGAUGGCAGAGUCUCUCCAGCUCAUGAGUCUUCAGUGACUCCCCAUUGUCCAUGGAAAACAGAAGACACCUGAGGCCUUGCACAGUGGACCUUAUUCUCAUCCCUCCCUCAGGAGAAUCCUCUGCCUCGAGCCGAAGGCCGUGGGCUCUGCAGACUCCAGGCCUCUCCUUCCCAGGGCGGUCUUCCCUUUCCCUAUGCUCAAGGCACAGCCCAAGUCCCACCUCCUCCAUUGCAAGGGACACCACCCUCUGAAUUCCUGUUGGGGAAAGAGCCUAGUUUUGCAGCCAGAUAGGCCCGAGUUAGAGUCUCAGCUCAGUUCCAAUCCCAUUAGCUGGUUGCAAGUCAUUAACUUUGUCAACCUUCAGUAAAUGGAAAUCAGGCCCACACUGUAGGUGCCUGGGGGUGCUGAUGGUUGAGUGGAAUCUGUUCUUUUGACCUUCCCAGCAUCUUUCCCCUUCCCAGCAUCCUUUCCCCUUUCUUUUGGUGAUGUCGCCUGGAUUUUCUGUUGGGUAUGUGGUCCAGGGGUGGCUGACCUCACUUCCUGGUUCCAGCAUAAGAUCAUGACUGAGAGCUGGCCAAUGAGAAUAUUCCCUCGCCCCAGCCACAGAGUCAGAUUCCCGGGGAUGAACUUGUGAGUCAAAACAGGCUGGUGGGAACACACUUGGGGUGUUAGCUGGAGUUAUUGAAGCUUUCUUUCCCACUGGAGUCACUAGGUAGAUAGAAGGAAAGCUGAAGCCUUUAGCCACUGCUGUGGGUUGAAGUGUGUACCCCAAAAAGAUAUGUUCAAAUUCUAAUCCCCUGCACCUUUGGAGGUGGCCUUGUUUGGAAAAAGGGUCUUUGCAGAUGUAGGCAAGUGAAGAUGAAGCCAUCCUGGAUCAGGGUGGCUUGUGGCUUGUGUCCAAUGCCUUGUGUCCUUCUAAGAAGAGAGAAAUCGAGACACAGACACACACAGGGAAAAGGCCGAGUGAUGACAGCAGCAGAGAUGGGAGCGCGGCAGCUACAAGCUGAGGGAUGCCAAGCAUGGCUGGCACCACCCAGGAGCCUGGAGAGAGGGAGGGGACAGCCUCCUCCUUAGAGCCUCGAAACACCCUACCCACAUCCUGGCUUCAGACUUCCAGCCUGCACAACUGGGAGAGAAUCACUUUCUGCUGUGUUAAGCUACACUAGUUCAUGGUGAUUUGUUACAGCAGCUGCAGGAAAUGAACACAGACACCAAAUGGAGAUACUGUGUCUGAGAUUGAAGCCAGCACCGUGGAAUCAGAGCUGCCAGGAGGGAGACGUGGACUCUCGACCCUGUGGCCACACUUGGUUCCCCCAGCAGCUGAAGCACGAAGUCUACUGGACUUACUAGACUUUCCAGUUACCUGGACCAAUAUAUUCUCUGUUUUACUUAAGCUGUUUCGAUUGGAUUUCUGGCUAUUUCAACUGAGAGAGGCCUAACUCUCAGUUAUACAGAGACAAUGGAUGUAAAAUGCAUUGAAGGCCAGGCACAGUGGCUCGCGCCUGUAAUCCCAACACUUUGGAAAGCCAAGGCAGGAGGAUGGCUUG
rnacentral:lncRNA from 1 species